rnacentral:lncRNA from 1 species
GCCUUCGUAAGUGUGAGUAAGUACGAAGUUCUGACCCAAAAAACGACAUCCAGCAUAGCCCUGACAUUGACACGUCGACAGUAAUAAUGAUUUGAGAGAAUGGAGUAUAAUUGAAUGUUGGACAUGACGUGUCAAUGUAGGACACCAAACACACUUUCAAUCUGAAUUUUAAAGUGUCGGUGCUACAUACAGGUAAGUAACUCGUAGAUUGAAACAUGUGUGUGUAUAUACUAUAUACUACUUGUAUCGCAAUAAAUAUUAAAUACAUAAAAGACAAUAUUCA